CGUAGCGAGUGGCGGACGGGUGAGUAACGCGUGGGUAACCUGCCUCAUACAGGGGGAUAACAGUUAGAAAUGACUGCUAAUACCGCAUAAGACCACAGUACCGCAUGGUACAGGGGUAAAAACUCCGGUGGUAUGAGAUGGACCCGCGUCUGAUUAGGUAGUUGGUGGGGUAACGGCCUACCAAGCCGACGAUCAGUAGCCGACCUGAGAGGGUGACCGGCCACAUUGGGACUGAGACACGGCCCAA
rnacentral:rRNA from 1 species